UUUUUCUCCAAAAGAACAAGCCUCUUUCAUCCAGCUGCACCUCUCGGCUCUGCUGCUGAUGUUUUCAUGCUCUCUGCCUGUGGUACAUGCUGCAUGGGCAUGACCAAGCAAGUAUCAGUACAGAGCACUGGCAAACUCCCAAGGGAUCUGCAGUAAACAAGUGGCAGGCAACCAGCCAGUGCUGUGAUGGCCACGCUCUGCUGCGAGUGGGAUUAUGCUGUUGGAGUCCUGCUGAGAAGUGCAACUGAUCUGUAUGUCUGCAGCUGUGGUGGGCUGGAGGAGGUGUACUGAGCACUCUGUACUCAAUCAACGAGAUCAGGUCCUCAUGCCUGUGCAGAUGACCUUCACAUCAGUGGUGGGAUGAAGUUUGGCUUGGUAGUUAAACCAGGAGGAACUCUGCUGUAUUUUGUCCAGUUGAAAUUGAUGCCAUUGCUGGAGGAAGGUGAUGGCUGCGUGGGUGAAUGGGACCUGACUGCACUCCUGAAGAGACUCAUGAAGGAAUAUGGGCAAAUCCACUGCCUGCCCAGACUGAGACACCUCUGAGAGCCAAAUUUUUAUCCUUCACAACCUGAGCUUUGAGUGCAGCUGUGGCCCUCAGGUCCUUGGCUAAAGUCUUAUUUUGCAAGGGAACGGCAGAGACAGACCUAGUGAAAGUGUCUUUCCUGUAAUGGGGGAAUCUUAAGGUGAGUUCAGCAUUUGCUGAAAGGAAUAACCUGGUAUCUCUUCUACACUGCCUUAUGAACAGCACAGAAGUGCUUACUAAUUUUAAUACAGUAUUUUGUCACGUCAUUAUUAGUGGGAGCAAAACUUACAGCUGUCAGUGAACUCUUGAGACACUUGUAAUCCCUCGUACCUCCAGCAGAAGUUGCCCGUACCCAGCACCUCGGCAGAGGCAGCCUGAGACAGCCCUGUGCAGCCCUUCCUUCCCCAGCGUGCCGGGCUAAGGCUGCUCGGGAAACCUGGGAAGAAUAACACGGUGUAUUUGCUGCAGUAUUUUAAGCACAAAGACAUACCAGGCUAUGAUUAUCUUCCAUGUGGAUGUGAACACAUGGAACAUAGUGUAAUUUAUGGUUAUGUUAACACUGCAAUGCAUGAGCUGCUAAGGUGGCUGAGGAUUGAAUGUCAGCAGCAGCCUGCAGGUUGGAUUGCAGCAGGCAUUGAAGUUUGAGGGAUGCUCAAGGGCAGGUUCCUCUUGAUCCUUUGAUCUGCAUGGCAUUUGGUGAGGUCUAUGUGGAGAUGGUCAUCUCACCCUCUGUUUUCAGCGGGAUAGAUUGCCCUGGGCUUCCCCAGGAGUGUAAUAGGCAGGAGUGGGUGGGGACUGAGAGCAAGUCACAGGAACAGUCCUUGCAGUGCUGUGUGUGCCUCAGCCUAAUGAAAGCCUGAUAAUUAGGAUUGCCAUUCUCUUUAUUUUUAAUUAUGAGGUAGCACUUUAUUGUGGAGGGCAAAAGUAACCCUGUAAUUAGCCUGUGUGAUUACUCAGUGAUUAGCCAGUCUCUGAUGCUGCAGACACUCAGGAGAACCCUUGGCAGGCUGUCACAGGUCUAUGUGGGUUGGACGGGACCCUUGGCAAAAUUUCCCCAUCCUCCUGCUGAGGCCAGGCACAGACCAGGCAGGGAUGAGGACAGCAUGAGGCUCCAAGCACAAGUGGAUGACCUCUGGCAGUGAGGUACAGCCAUCCAAGAGACUCUGGCUCAGCUUCUGUGGGCUGCUGAAGCCUCAUCACCCCACAUCCCCAGUGCACUGAAUCCAGCUUCUUUCACCGCACAGGCAGAGGCUGGGUCUGCCAGCUCCAAGCCCCAGCCACACUGACACCCCACGCUCACUGGGAGCAGCCUCCUAGGGCAUUGCUGAGCACUGCAGUGACAGCAACAUCCAAAUGGUUGAGGGCAUCAGCCGAGAAACUAAUGUGUUUAUAAAACAAAUUGUUUAAGAAAGAAAGAAUCGAGGGGUGCAGAAGGCUGCUGUGAGCAGCCCUGUGCUUCUCAGCCAUCUGGCCCUAGUCCAUGUUGGUCCCUGGGGUUGUUCCUCCCCAGGAGCAGAAGAUGGCAUCGCCUCUGCCCGGGCAGGUUGCAGCCUUGCCUGCCUCGCUUGGAUCUGAAGGACCAAAAAGUUUACGUGGUCACUGCAGCGAGAGCCAAAGGGGCUUCACUGGGCACGAGGGAGGAGAGCUGUCCAUUGGUGAAGGGAGUGGCUUGGCAUCAAGUGGCUGCCCAGUGCCCUGCAGGCUCAUAGCUGGGCUUAAAACAUGCUGAAUGGGUUAAUUUUUCCUUCUGCUGACAAGCCCAUGGCAGGUGGAAACCCUGUUCUCAGCUCAGCCUCCACUGCUGCCUGCACCCCACACUCUGCUGGGCUCGCGUGGGGGUUUCUCGUCCCCUUCUCUCACCCCCGCCACGUUUGCUUCUUUAGCUGAGCCAUUCUGGGGGCUGGCUGGUAUUUCAGUCACUGAAGAAAUUAGUAACUGAUUUAUGUAACAUCUCGCGUGACUGACUGCAGGGUCUUCACAGAGAUGCAACCGCGAACAAGUACGCUAUGGGCAGAGUAAGAAAAAGCGGCCCAGAACCUCCCCCACAGUGAACCGUGGGCCAGGCCAGAUGCCACUCCACUGUCUCGCAGUGGCACCUGUACCUGUGCACCGUGGCUGUGUCCUGUUUCACCACAGCUCAGCUCUGCAGGUGAGGGCCAGCAGCCACGUUACCGUGUCCUUCCCAGGGCCAGCCAGAGCAAUUUCCUGCCUUGAAAAAGUGCUUCUUGUCCCCUGUUUGUACAGGUCUCAGGCCAGGCCCCAUCCCAGCAGCUCAGCACUCAGCACCGAGUUGUCUCACCCAGGGCCCAUUCAGGCUGGCGUCACCUGCCAGCAGCACCUCUCCUGCCACCUCUGCUCGGGUGCAUCGAUGCCCAGCAGACGGAGGAGGCUGCAUGCUGCCAGGCAAGCUGCAUUUCAGCAGCAGCUGGGUGCUGUCAGCUCUUGCUCCUCCUGGCUCCCUGCUGAGACUUUGGUGUCUGUCUCUUACCUCCAGUCAUUGGUGCUCAUGGUGGGGCAGGAGAGAUGGUCACCCCACACAUGUAUGGGGAAACCUUGGCAGAGCAGUGAUGGGACACUGGAUCUCAGUGUUCCCUGACUCUCCAGGGGUUGAAGCUUUCAGCUUGGAUGGUCCAGGGGCUAUUUUGAGCAUGUGUGUGUCUCUGGACUGCUGGUGGCAGACCUGACAUCCCCGUGCAGGAAUGGAAACUCCACUGGUUCAGCAGGGGUGGGCAGGAAGGCUGAGCAAUGUGCCAGCAUCCCUCUCAGCAGCUGUGAUUCAGUAGUGAAGUCUAAGCAGGAAAUAACAAAGAAAUGCUUGCAAAUUAAAAGUGCUUUUGAUGUGAAUAGAAACGGUUAUAACAAUCUGGAUUUUUUUCAUGUAAAUAAGGCUCAGAAAAUGUGUUUUUUCAAACUGACAUGCAGCCAGCUCUAGUAGGUGUACCCAUCUCAGGAUAAAAGGAACAGAAGCCGCUCACUUGAUGAACCUGAAAGCUUUCUUAGAAUUACAAAAGGAAUAAAUGAUCUUAAUAAUAUUAACUCCUGGGUGGUCACCUGAGUCUUUGUGAGCAGUAUUCAUCACAUCCCAGACAGUGUAGUUUUAAGCUUGCACAAAAGACAACUUCAGAUGUUCUCAUGAUCUCCUUUUCAGCAGUGUAAGUUAUUGCUAAUACUCAAAUUUAAUUCCACCAUGAGCAUGUCCAUUUCAGUAAUCCUUGGUGUGGGAAGACAACCACUGCCCUCGCCAGUGAAGGAGCGCCCUGUGGCAGCUUCCCUUGGCCUCUGCCGCAGCCUCAGCCCAGGAGCAUCCUCCCCACCGGUGUCUUGGAGGGGGUCUGGUGGACAACAGCUGGUGAGAGGAGAGGAGAGGAGGGGCUGCAGGAGCUGGGACACUCACCUUUGCCACAGAAACAGCUGGACAGGAGACGUGGCCCUUCCU